UACAGAGGUGGCAAGCGUUGUUCGGAAUUACUGGGCGUAAAGGGCGCGUAGGCGGUCUUGUCAGUCCCUUGUGAAAUCCCCCGGCUCAACUGGGGAACUGCACGGGAAACAGCAGGGCUUGAGUUCGGGAGAGGGAAGCGGAAUUCCGGGUGUAGCGGUGAAAUGCGUAGAUAUCCGGAGGAACACCGGUGGCGAAGGCGGCUUCCUGGACCGAUACUGACGCUGAGACACGAAAGCGUGGGUAGCAAACAGG
rnacentral:rRNA from 1 species